rnacentral:ncRNA from 14 species
CAAAACCACUGGGGGAGCCUUUUAAAGGCUGAGAUUAAAGUGUACUACUUUAAGACCCUUUGAACCUGAUCUAGUUCAUACUAGCGGAGGGAAGUGUAGUCUGAAUGAU